AUUAGAAUUUCCGCGAUCGUUCGAACGAACGUGUCUCGUUCAAAUUGCGCGGGCAUACAACGGCGUUUCUUAUCGCAUCGGAAAUCGAUACCGGUUCUAUCUCGAUUUCGAUUGUCAAAGGGUACGCUACAGGAGAACCCGGUAUUUCUUAUCAGUGAGCAACGAUUAUAAACCCUUACCUGUGCAUAUUUCUAACAAGCUUACUCAAUCCGUAUUUCCAUUCGAUGUCGGACUGAGCUUGUAUCCGUUGGCUCGCUCCCGGACAGAGCUAAAUAUUUCUUACGGAUCGAAUCCCAAUCGACUACGCUUUCGAGUCUUGUAGCACUAUUGAAAGACAAUUGACUUCCAAGAGGACUCAAGUGCACCACGGACAAGGUUACACUGUCUUUUGGUCUGACUUGACCUUUCUUCACUUUGGCCAGCCACUUCGCGCCCAUCUUCGAUCUAGCGUGUUGCUUGCACACUUUGAUGAAAUACACGAUCCAAGUAGUGAGCAAGUUAAGAGGCGAUGGGGCGGUGGUCGUUCUGCAACACGGAAUCGUGUGUCCAGCCUAUCCCGCAGAUUCGUUUCACGAGAAAGAACUACACG